UAUCCCAUGACAUAUUAUAAUAUAAUAGUGUCGGAGGCAAACGUCAAUAUUUACUAUAAAAAUAAGACAAUUCACACCCAACGAGAUGGAGGGGGUCGGGGUUAAAUCACGCCGGGCUGGAAUUUCGAUGGAAGUCCAGGGCCCCAUUAACAUCCCGUAAAACACUAGUGCAAGAUAAUUGUAUUAUUUGAAUUUUUAAAAAUACUGCAGCCUGUUAU